rnacentral:rRNA from 1 species
GGGAAUCUACCUAGUUCUAUGGAACAACUGAUGGAAACGUCAGCUAAUACCGUAUACGCCCUACGGGGGAAAGAUUUAUCGGAAUUAGAUGAGCCCGCGUAAGAUUAGCUAGUUGGUGGGGUAAUGGCCUACCAAGGCGACGAUCUUUAGCUGGUCUGAGAGGAUGAUCAGCCACACUGGGACUGAGACACGGCCCAGACUCCUACGGGAGGCAGCAGUGGGGAAUAUUGGACAAUGGGCGCAAGCCUGAUCCAGCCAUGCCGCGUGAGUGAUGAAGGCCUUAGGGUUGUAAAGCUCUUUCAGUAGGGAAGAUAAUGACGGUACCUACAGAAGAAGCCCCGGCUAACUUCGUGCCAGCAGCCGCGGUAAUACGAAGGGGGCUAGCGUUGUUCGGAUUUACUGGGCGUAAAGCGCACGUAGGCGGUUUGUUAAGUCAGAGGUGAAAUCCCGGAGCUCAACUCCGGAACUGCCUUUGAUACUGGCAAGCUAGAGUCCGGAAGAGGUAAGUGGAACUCCUAGU